rnacentral:rRNA from 1 species
CGACGCAACGCCGCGUGGAGGAUGAAGGUCUUCGGAUUGUAAACUCCUGUUGCUCGGGACGAAAAGCUUCGACCUAACACGUCGAAGUCUGACGGUACCGAGUGAGGAAGCCCCGGCUAACUCUGUGCCAGCAGCCGCGGUAAUACAGAGGGGGCAAGCGUUGUUCGGAAUUACUGGGCGUAAAGGGCGCGUAGGCGGCCUGCUAAGUCGAACGUGAAAUCCCUGGGCUCAACCCAGGAACUGCGUCCGAUACUGGUUGGCUUGAAUCCGGGAGAGGGAUGUGGAAUUCCAGGUGUAGCGGUGAAAUGCGUAGAUAUCUGGAGGAACACCGGUGGCGAAGGCGACAUCCUGGACCGGCAUUGACGCUGAGGCGCGAAAGCCAGGGGAGCAAACGGGAUUAGAUACCCCGGUAGUCCUGGCCCUAAACGAUGAAUGCUUGGUGUGGUGGGUAUCGAUCCCCACCGUGCCGAAGCUAACGCAUUAAGCAUUCCGCCUGGGGAGUACGGUCGCAAGGCUG